UGUCUGCCGUGUGGGUGUUGAUCGACAGCUGUGAUUGACAGUUGGCUCACCUGCUGCUCCCCCCGGCUCCGGGACUCCAGGAAUAUUGUGAGAAUGAUAGGCAACACCCCACACUUCCUAUUUGAAGGUCCUGGCUCCAAAUGGAAAACAUGGCGCCGACUGUAAGCUGCAACUCCGGGCUUCAAACCAGCUACAAUGCAAACCAAUGGGUGAGACACCGCACUGACCCUGCAGAGAGACAGACUGCUGUGACGUCUGUCACUAUGUCGACUUUACAGCCCCAUGUGCUAGAAGACAAAUGGGUAUAAGUAUACCCGCUACACUCCCUGGCAUGAUGGGAUACAGUGCCAGGCAUACCUGUCUGGUCCACAACUAGACUGCCUCUACUGAAGGACAAGAUGGUGGCGUUUAAAAGCACUGCUAUCCGUGUACCGAGACUGAGACGCUGAUAUUUCACACUGUCUUGAUUUCCUCCCAGGCUAUAUGAUGCCGGGCUGGCAGCCAUGUUGGAGCUGUAACCGCAGAGGGAGAUAAGUGUCGUGACUCCAGGGUUUCAUUACCUCCCGCACAGUUUAGCACUAGAUAGUAUUAGCUGUUAAUGGCCCUUCUAACUAAAAGGGGUGAUUCAGACAGACAGCAUUCAGCCCAUAAAGCCGACGCGGAAAGCAUCUUACUAAAUAAGGAUACACUCUUAAAACACAAGGUGUCACUUUCAGAUAGCAUGCAUUUGUGUCACUGUCUAAAAGUAUUAUAUGUUUAAUAGAAACAUGCACUGAUACUACAAGUUAUUAAUGUUUUGUUGAGAAAUAAGUUUCAAUUACAAAAAUAACAAAAUAAUGUUUGCUAUCAAGAUAUUACACAACACCAGGGAGAUGACUUUUAUUUCAGCACUGUGCAAAUUUAGUCUAAUGACAACUUUAAGCUAAAGUUAAAUUUGGGAUUUGUAAAUCUUUACUUAAUAAAUGUCGGUAUCAUCUUACCGACUCUAUGUAUUUUAGUCAUGUAAUCAAGCUUAUUUCAACUGUCAAAUGAUCAUUUUAAGCCAUCAAGCUAACAGCUUCAUUUGUAGUCCUAUAUAUGAAAACAAGCCAUCAACACAAGUAAACUAAUAUUAGCUUUAAGAGUCGCCUUGAUAGUCAUAAGAUGAAAGCUGUACCUCGGCUCAUCUACAAGUAUGUAACAAGAUAAGCAAGAUUCGAUUACAAGGAAUCUAAAUUUAGCUGGGCAACUUAUCAAAUCAAAUCAAAAAAAAAAAAGAUGUACAAUCGGAGUUUGGGGUUGCUAAGAUCCAUUAUUUAAUAAAAGAGCCCCGACGUAAUCUAAAGUGUAUCCAAGAAAUUUGCGUCUGUGCACUGAUGUUCCUGAAAUUAGAUCUGUCUUAUUUUCUUUUUAUUCAUAUGCCUAACAUGCAUGUGUGAAUAAAUAUAUGACAUAAUUU